UACGGAGGGUGCAAGCGUUAUCCGGAAUCAUUGGGUUUAAAGGGUCCGCAGGCGGGCUUAUAAGUCAGUGGUGAAAUCUCUCGGCUUAACCGGGAAACUGCCAUUGAUACUGUAAGUCUUGAAUUCGGUCGAAGUGGGCGGAAUGUGUCAUGUAGCGGUGAAAUGCAUAGAUAUGACACAGAACACCGAUAGCGAAGGCAGCUCACUAGACCUGGAUUGACGCUCAGGGACGAAAGCGUGGGAGCGAACAGG
rnacentral:misc_RNA from 1 species